AAUCGACGCUGGCGGCGUGCUUCAGACAUGCAAGUCGAACGCGAAGGUUUCCUUCGGGAAGCGAGUAGAGUGGCGCACGGGUGAGUAACACGUAAGUAAUCUACCUUUGGGUGGGGAAUAACUCAGGGAAACUUGAGCUAAUACCGCAUAAUGCAGCGGCUCCUUAUGGAGACAGUUGUUAAAGAAUUUAUUCGCCUAAA
rnacentral:rRNA from 1 species